rnacentral:rRNA from 1 species
AACGAACGCUGGCGGCAUGCCUAACACAUGCAAGUCGAACGAGACCUUCGGGUCUAGUGGCGCACGGGUGCGUAACGCGUGGGAACCUGCCCUUAGGUUCGGAAUAACUCCCCGAAAGGGGUGCUAAUACCGGAUAAUGUCUUCGGACCAAAGAUUUAUCGCCUUUGGAUGGGCCCGCGUUGGAUUAGCUAGUUGGUAGGGUAAAAGCCUACCAAGGCGACGAUCCAUAGCUGGUCUGAGAGGAUGAUCAGCCACACUGGGACUGAGACACGGCCCAGACUCCUACGGGAGGUAGCAGUGGGGAAUAUUGGACAAUGGGCGAAAGGCUGAUCCAGCAAUGCCGCGUGAGUGAUGAAGGCCUUAGGGUUGUAAAGCUCUUUUACCCGGGAUGAUAAUGACAGUACCGGGAGAAUAAGCACCGGCUAACUCCGUG